UGAAGCCUACGGGACGCAGCAGUGGGGAAUAUUGCACAAUGGGGGAAACCCUGAUGCAGCGACGCCGCGUGAGUGAAGAAGUAUUUCGGUAUGUAAAGCUCUAUCAGCAGGGAAGAAAAUGACGGUACCUGAUUAAGAAGCCCCGGCUAACUACGUGCCAGCAGCCGCGGUAAUACGUAGGGGGCAAGCGUUAUCCGGAUUUACUGGGUGUAAAGGGAGCGUAGACGGCAGCGCAAGUCUGAAGUGAAAUGCCGGGGCUUAACCCCGGAACUGCAUUGGAAACUGGCAUGCUGGAGUGCCGGAGG
rnacentral:rRNA from 1 species